rnacentral:rRNA from 1 species
GCCAGCAGCCGCGGGAACACCGGCGGCCCGAGUGGUGAUCGUGAUUAUUGGGUCUAAAGGGUCCGUAGCCGGUUUGGUCAGUCCUCCGGGAAAUCUGAUAGCUCAACUAUUAGGCUUUCGGGGGAUACUGCCAGACUUGGAACCGGGAGAGGUAAGAGGUACUACAGGGGUAGGAGUGAAAUCUUGUAAUCCCUGUGGGACCACCUGUGGCGAAGGCGUCUUACCAGAACGGGUUCGACGGUGAGGGACGAAAGCUGGGGGCACGAACCGGAUUAGAUACCCGGGUAGUCCCAGCCGUAAACGAUGCUCGCUAGGUGUCAGGCAUGGCGCGACCGUGUCUGGUGCCGCAGGGAAGCCGUGAAGCGAGCCACCUGGGAAGUACGGCCGCAAGGCUGAAACUUAAAGGAAUUGGCGGGGGAGCACAACAACGGGUGGAGCCCUGCGGUUUAAUUGGACUCAACGCCGGACAACUCACCGGGGGCGACAGCAAUAUGUAGGCCAAGCUGAAGACUUUGCCUGAAUCGCUGAGAAGAGGUGCAUGG